rnacentral:rRNA from 1 species
CCUUACGGCUCAGUAACACGUGGAUAACCUGCCCUUGGGUCCGGCAUAACCCCGGGAAACUGGGGAUAAUUCCGGAUAACGCAUAUAUGCUGGAAUGCUUUAUGCGUCAAAUGGAUUCGUCUGCCCAAGGAUGGAUCUGCGGCCUAUCAGGUAGUAGUGGGUGUAAUGUACCUACUAGCCUACAACGGGUACGGGUUGUGAGAGCAAGAGCCCGGAGAUGGAUUCUGAGACAUGAAUCCAGGCCCUACGGGGCGCAGCAGGCGCGAAAACUUUACAAUGCGGGAAACCGUGGUAAGGGGACACCGAGUGCUAGCAUCAUAUGCUGGCUGUCCAGGUGUGUAAACUACACCUGUUAGCAAGGGCCGGGCAAGACCGGUGCCAGCCGCCGCGGUAACACCGGCGGCCCGAGUGGUGAUCGUGAUUAUUGGGUCUAAAGGGUCCGUAGCCGGUUUGGUCAGUCUUCCGGGAAAUCUGAUAGCCUAACUAUUAGGCUUUCGGGGGAUACUGCCAGGCUUGGAACCGGGAGAGGUAAGAGGUACUACAGGGGUAGGAGUGAAAUCUUGUAAUCCCUGUGGGACCACCUGUGGCGAAGGCGUCUUACCAGAACGGGUUCGACGGUGAGGGACGAAAGCUGGGGGCACGAACCGGAUUAGAUACCCGGGUAGUCCCAGCCGUAAACGAUGCUCGCUAGGUGUCAGGCAUGGCGCGACCGUGUCUGGUGCCGCAGGGAAGCCGUGAAGCGAGCCACCUGGGAAGUACGGCCGCAAGGCUGAAACUUAAAGGAAUUGGCGGGGGAGCAC